ACUCGUUGAUCCUGCGAGAGAAUGCUGCUAUUAGGAUUCGAAUUAGACAUGCAAGUCAGGGAGUCCGCAAGGACUACCGGCGGAAUGCUCAGUAACACGUCGAUAAUCUGCCCUCAGGUUGAGGAUAACCUUGGGAAACUGAGGCUAACACUCGAUAGGGGAUUUCUUCUGAAAGGAUUUAUCCCUUAAAGGCAACGCCUGAGGAUGAGUCGGCGGCGGAUUAGGCUGUUGGUGGGGUAAUGGCCCACCAAACCUGUGAUCCGUAGGGGCUUUGAGAGAGGUCGCCCCGAGAAGGGUACUGAGACACUGACCCUAGCCCCACGGGGUGCGGCAGUCACGAGAACUUUACAAUGCGCGAAAGCGUGAUAAGGGAAUCCUAAGUGCUCAUACAAUGUAUGGGCUUUUGCCGACAGUAAAUAUGUCGGAGAAUAAGUGGUGGGCAAGACUGGUGCCAGCAGCCGCGGUAACCCCAGCGCCACAAGUGGCAUUCACAUUUACUUGGUCUAAAGCGUCCGUAGCAGGUUUGAUAAAUCUUUUGUGAAAUCGCCGGGCUUAACUCGGCGGCGUGCAGGAGACACUAUCAGACUUGGGACCGGGAGGAGUCAGAAGUAUUCUUUGGGGAGCGGUAAAAUGCUAUAAUCCAUUGAAGACUACCAGUGGCGUAGGCGUCUGACUAGAACGGAUCCGACUGUGAGGGACGAAAGCUAGGGGAGCGAUCCGGAUUAGAUACCCGAGUAGUCCUAGCCGUAAGCGCUGUGAGUUAGGUGUUGCAUAAUCUAUAGGAUUAUGCAGUGUCGAAGCGAAGGUGUUAAACUCACCACCUGGGAAGUACGGCCGCAAGACUGAAACUUAAAGGAAUUGGCGGGGGAGCACCACAAGGGGUGCGGCGUGCGGUUUAAUCUAACUCAACACAGAGAAUCUCACCAGGGGCGACGGCAGGAAGAAGGUCAGUCUAAAGGGCUUACCUGACGAGCCGAGAGGUAGUGCAUGGCCGUCGUCAGCUCGUGCCGUAAGGUGUCUUGUUAAGUCAAGCAACGAGUGAGACCCAUACUCACAAUUGCUAACAGGCUGGCUUCAGUGACUGAGCACAUUGUGAGGACUGCUUUGGUAACAAAGAGGAAGGUGUGGGCCACGGUAGGUCUGUAAGCUCCGAAUCCACUGGGCUACACGCGCGCAACAAUGGUAUGGACAAUGGGAUACAACCCCGAAAGGGGAAGUCAAACCUCUAAACCAUAUCUUAGUCCGAAUCGAGGGUUGAAACUCACCCUCGUGACGUUGGAAUCCCUAGUAAUCAGAAGUCAUCAGCUUCUGGUGAAUAUGUCCCUGCUCCUUGCACACACCGCCCGUCAAACCAACCGAGCAGGGUUUAGGUGAGGCCGGGUUUAUUGAUCCUGUCGAAUCUAAGCUCAGUGAGGUGGGUUAAGUCGUCACAAGGUA
rnacentral:rRNA from 1 species